AUACGGAGGGUGCAAGCGUUACUCGGAAUCACUGGGCGUAAAGGACGCGUAGGCGGGAUAGUAAGUCUGAUGUGAAAUCCUAUGGCUCAACCAUAGAACUGCAUUGGAAACUACUGACCUAGAGUAUGGGAGGGGGAGAUGGAAUUAGUAGUGUAGGGGUAAAAUCCGUAGAUAUUACUAGGAAUACCGAAAGCGAAGGCGAUCUCCUGGAACAAUACUGACGCUAAGGCGUGAAAGCGUGGGGAGCAAACAGGAUUAGAUACCCUAGUAGUCC
rnacentral:rRNA from 1 species